CUUUGAGCUGUGUCUGUUAGAGGCAGUGGUGUGGUAGAAAAAGCGAAGUGGAAAAUACAGGCAAGUGGUUUAAGUCUCUGAGCUCCACUUCUCCUGAUCUGUGAAAGAAACCGGCCAUAUGCUGACCUCCGUCUGUGGAGAGGGUUCAGUGAGCUGCCAUGCUUCUGAGCUCUGCCGUGGCCACGAGAACGCGCCCGGUUUAGCCGACUGGAGGAUGAGAGACGUGUGGAGGAGAGCGAGUCCCUGCAGUGGUCCCUGGAGCCCAGCCUAAAUCACUCAGUGGGCAGCCAAACUCUAGGUAUGUUAGUGAGUCCAGCCGGGAUCAGCAGAAC